GACCAGACUCCUACGGGAGGCAGCAGUGGGGAAUAUUGCACAAUGGGGGAAACCCUGAUGCAGCGACGCCGCGUGAGCGAUGAAGUAUUUCGGUAUGUAAAGCUCUAUCAGCAGGGAAGAAGAUGACGGUACCUGACUAAGAAGCCCCGGCUAACUACGUGCCAGCAGCCGCGGUAAUACGUAGGGGGCAAGCGUUAUCCGGAUUUACUGGGUGUAAAGGGAGCGUAGACGGCGAUGCAAGCCAGAUGUGAAAGCCCGGGGCUCAACCCCGGGACUGCAUUUGGAACUGUGUGGCUGGAGUGUCGGAGAGGCAGGCGGAAUUCCUAGUGUAGCGGUGAAAUGCGUAGAUAUUAGGAGGAACACCAGUGGCGAAGGCGGCCUGCUGGACGAUGACUGACGUUGAGGCUCGAAAGCGUGGGGAGCAAACAGGAUUAGAUACCCUUGUAC
rnacentral:rRNA from 1 species